UGUCUUCACAGGUGUCAUUGGACUUCACUCCGUUCACAGAAGGAGCCAGUGUUAAACGACAGGAUCAUGUCGUGUGAAGUCUACUCUCUCACCUGGAUGCUUGUGCUGUACUCAGAUAUUCUGGCCUCCAGAGUGGAGCAGUCUCCUUCCAUCAUGUCAAUUUCACGGGGGGACUACGAUACAUUCAAAUGCACGCUAAAGAAUACAGAUUGCAGCUUUAUGUACUGGUACAGACAGCGACCAGACCGGGAAAUAGAAGCUUUAUUCUACUCUGCUGCAAAAGGAGCUGUUACAAAUUACACAUCUGAGUCUUAUCAGGCCGAACGACUCAGUGAAACACAAUUUAAUUUGGAAGUGACAAGCGCCUCUACAUCUCAAACGGCUGUGUAUUUCUGUGCGUGUAGCAACGCACAGCGUUUGAGGCCGUGUCUUUGCUGUUACAAAAACUUGCAUCCAACUCCAGGCACGUUCAGGGCUCAUUUUCCACCAGCAGAUGGGGACAGACGAUUGAUGUUCAGGGCGCAAUUUCUGCGACCACGUUCGAAAUCAGAGAAUCGGAAGAGCAGAAGAUGCAAUUCAGCCUUUCUUUCCUUUCCCAGCGCUUUUUAA